AGGGUCUCACUGUUGCCAGGACUGCUCUGAAACUCCUGGUUUCAAGUGAUCCCCUUGC
rnacentral:miRNA from 1 species